AGUUUCAAUACCGCCAAAUAGUUCUAUUAUUUCUUAUCUUUUUGCCCUAAUUUUAUGUAGAACCCUUCGAUUCCCACCGAAGCGCAUUAUCAUCAACGAACACCACCAGUGAUGUAUGUGGCAUUCAAGGACAUAAUGUGAUUAUUAAGCGAAGCCAUGGAUUCAAAUAUCAGUCACUUUCCUUCCGACUUUCAAUUCUAGGGUUUCGUCUAGGCGGUGGCUAUAUAACAACCGAUCUGAAACAAAAAGAAAUUGAAUGGAUGUUGAGCAAGACAGGGAAAGCAUAGUACAGGAGUAGUGUGGAAUGUAGAUAAAAACUUUAAUCGUCAACAUAUAAGACAUCAAGUUAUACAGCUUUUUGGAAUGAAAUGAAGCAUUUCUUCUUGUUAGCUAGUUUUCAUUCCAUAGCGGGAUGUUUUUUUGCACGCUUUUUUGGAUGAAGAAGGUUGGGUUCCUGUUAAUAUAAUAGCAACCUUCAAGAAAUUGCAGGGUGAGAGGAUGAGGAAAUGAAAUGAGGGCAUGAAAUGUGUUCUUCCAAGUUGAUUCGUUGGCAUCAUAGCUUUGGGGUACUGGAUUGAAAUGGGUUCUACCAAGCUCCAUUAGUCAAGAUUUAUGUUUUAGGUGUUACUAGGACAAAGUUAGACUUGUUAAGCUUUUUGGAACGUAUUUUCUGUUAAUUACUAAGAAUAUUGUUGUAAAACAAUUUAAGUUUUAAUUAAAGUUAUGCUUUUGCAUUUUCCA